UGGCUCAGAGGAUAAAGCAUCUGCCUGCAAUGCAGGAGACCCGGGUUCCAUCCCUGG
rfam:TPA: Bos taurus chromosome 17, whole genome shotgun sequence.